GCCAUUCUGACUAUUCACAAAUUUACAAGAUACUCACAAUAUCUUGUUCAGAUGCACCACUUGGGUUCAUGUUCUCUAUCUGUUGAAUGCAUCCUCUUA